rnacentral:lncRNA from 1 species
GGACAGAAAGUAGCAUGGAAAGGAGGGCCCUGGAAGUGCUAGGGUGCUGAGGACAGCACUGAUGACACAAACCCUCCUGCCUCUACACCAUAGAACACCAUGUAGCCACUUAGAGAGAAGCUGAAGAACGGUAGACAGUAAUCUGAAAUAAAGCACAUCCAUGGCACAUUCUGUCACAUCAUGUCCCUGAGGGGUCACCUUGUCCCCAAGAAGCCCUCAAAGGAGGAGAGGAAAUGCCACAGAAUGAAAGAAGUGAGAGGAACUGC